GCAGAACCCCUUCGGGGGUGACGCAUGUGGAACGAGCGGCGGACGGGUGAGUAACACGUGGGCAACCUGCCUGUAAGACUGGGAUAACUCCGGGAAACCGGGGCUAAUACCGGAUAAUACGUUUUCUUGCAUAAGGAGACGUUAAAAGGCGGCGCAAGCUGUCACUUACAGAUGGGCCCGCGGCGCAUUAGCUAGUUGGUGGGGUAAAGGCCUACCAAGGCGACGAUGCGUAGCCGACCUGAGAGGGUGAUCGGCCACACUGGGACUGAGACACGGCCCAGACUCCUACGGGAGGCAGCAGUAGGGAAUCUUCCGCAAUGGACGAAAGUCUGACGGAGCAACGCCGCGUGAGUGAAGAAGGUUUUCGGAUCGUAAAACUCUGUUGUUAGGGAAGAACAAGUGCCGUUCAAAUAGGGCGGCACCAUGACGGUACCUAACCAGAAAGCCCCGGCUAACUACGUGCCAGCAGCCGCGGUAAUACGUAGGGGGCAAGCGUUGUCCGGAAUUAUUGGGCGUAAAGCGCGCGCAGGCGGUCUUUUAAGUCUGAUGUGAAAGCCCACGGCUU
rnacentral:rRNA from 1 species